rnacentral:lncRNA from 1 species
GCUGAAGCUGGAGUUCCUGACUGUACAUGAUGGAUGGGAAGUAAGUGGCUCAUCUCCUGGCAGGCACUGAGGAGUGGAGUCCCAUUUUAUUUCUGAAUCACUCUGAAUGGCACACUACAAAGGUUGGAUGUGCUGCUGCCCUUUCCAUCUUAAAUGCAUGCACUGCAGUGCACGCACAUUUCCAGCGUGACUCGGGGUCGUUGGGUCAGAGUGUGCACUGUUGCCCGUUAAGCUAUCUGGAGCAGAAGACCCACACUCAGGUAAUUAUCCCCUUGG